ACGGACGGAGCUAAGUUGAGGGUCUGAACGGAUGGCAGUCAUUAUACAUCAGGUUUUCCAAAUAUACCGUUAAGAUAUGAGUAUAUAUGUAAAAGUGCCGCAUUGGGUGUCGCGAUGACUCGCCGGGACUUUUUUAGUGAAAUACGAAGUGAAUGUGCGAAUUUUAAAAGUGGAGAAUAUAUAUUAAUGAAUUAAUAGUUUGUGAAUGAAUCACCUUUUGUGCGCUUGGGGCUGAUAUCUUUCUAGCAACUAGGAAAUCUCAGUGGCUCCGAUCUACACCUAGUUGUGACUAAUUAACGUAUAAACGGAUUUUUAAAACAUAAGAAGUCAUUCUUCAUGCAAUAUUUCUAUUAUCAUUGCUAAUCUUAUCGCAAACCGCACUUUCGGUGUUUGGUUUCUAUUUAUUUAUUUGCGUUUACGUCCAUGUAUGCAGUCGCGUGUGUGUCAUUAAAUUUACGAUCGUGAAUAUAUUUAUAAACUAAGUAACGUAUGCUCGGAAAUACGGUGGACGUUUCUCUCUUCCUUUUAUUAAAAUUCGUCUCUCGCUCUUGCUCUUUUUCAGCAGCGAACUAAUUAUUCAUUGGAGACGACAGAGAGCCGGUAAUCCAUCGAUCCAUCGAUCUCUAAUUCUCUCUUAUUCUCUAAUCAUUGGUUUUUUUUUAUUCACUAAUUUAUCAAAUUUCUUAUCACGAUAACUUGACUGCUGAGUUAUAAAUAUUUUGUAACCGUGUAGAUGGGCGGUUAGCCGGCGUGGUUGACUUAAUAGCGAUUAAUAGAAUUCUAAACAAUCAGUGAACGAUAAACUUAUUAUUCGGUAAAGGUGACGAGAAGACCGCGAACCGCGAAUUGGUGGUACCAGAGGCGAUAGCCAUCGCCGUUGUUAUUUACAUCAAAUUAGUAUUGAUCGAAAACUGACGAAGAACGGGGGGUUCUUAACGAGAGGAUCUUGACAGCGUCACGUGUACCGAACACAGGGAAAUAUAUCUGCCGUCUUUUCAAUUAUAUUCAAAAAAAUAUAUAUAUAAAUUAGUUUUAUAAGCAAUUAUUUCCAGCAGAUUAAGAAUUGUGUAGAGUGGUCGAGGUAAUAACUUUAAACAGUAAAAAUAGUACCACGAGUACGUAAAUUAAAUCGCGGCGAUAUAAGAAAAAAUAUCGAAUAAAUAACAGCGUUUCUUUCAUAUGUAACGUUCAUUCAUUCGUUACGUGUAAAGAUGUGAUGUUCGAAGACAGUUGGAAAAGAUAAUCGUAUUACGCCGUAAGAUAUACCUCGAUGAGUUUCUGCCGUCCUGACGCCCGACAUUGCUCGAAGGAACAACUGUUAACAUCAUCCAACGAAGGACGAGAGUAAAAUUCAUCUCGGUUACAUACAUCCUCCUGCCGACAAAAUAUCAGCUCUCUUAAGACAAUCCAGCAACCCCCCAAGUCCCAGAAGGCUGAAGAACGUAACGGAACAGAGAGGAGUAAUAGUUUCAUCGCUUUUUGAAGAAAGCUUUUCUCAUGCACGAAAGGUCAACCAUCCCCGAAGUCGGGUGUACUACGCCUUAUCACAAGGUGUGAUGGGGCUCAUUGACGCCGGCAAGUAUGAGCUGAGGCAGCAAAAUUAAUUAGGACUGGCAUGGAGAAAGAGAACUCCGGAGGGAGCGCGGACAACGCGCCGGGAGGGACUUCGACCUCCGCGUCCGCAGCUUCGGUUACAUCCACAUCAGCCUCCGAAAAAAUUCAGGCUGAUCAGGCUAACCCUCUACUGGAUCCGUCAGCUCUCUUUGGUGCAUAUUGGCCAAGAGGAGACAGUACAACAUCGUCGUUGUUCAGUGGAAUGCCAGGGGGAUACAGUCUGAGUCCUCAUCAUUUGCCAUCUGCCUAUGCGAUACUUGGUCGAGGUGGUUCGGGACAGGGGUACGGAAGUCACACGCCUACUUCUGCACCACCUCCUCCACCAUAUUCUCACAGCAGUCUCGGCACUUUAAGUGUGGCUGCGAGUCAGGCGGCUAGUCUGGGUAUCAAUUCAGCUAGUGCAGCAUGGUGGACCAUGGCCUCGCAUCUUGCUGCACAAAACUAUCUUGCGAGGUUACAAGGAGCUGCUGGGCUGCCUGGUUUUCCCCCCAGUGCAGAUAGUUUACUGCCACCGUAUCCCGGAUCGCUACUUAAUGCACCGCCCUUAUCCUCUCACAAAUCUACCAAAUCUAAAUCAAGUAAGAGCCACAAGCCUCCUGCCAGCAGUAGUUCUGCAACGGGUAGUCUGACUAGCAGUUUGGCUAUGAGUCAAGCACCGAUCUCGCAUCACAGUACAUCCACUAGCAGUACGUCAAAUUCGCAGACAAAUGUUAUCAGUACUACAAAGGAAGGAAGUGAUCCUAGUAGCAUAUUAGGUGGUGUGCGACUUCCUCCUGACACAGAAAUCAUCAAAUACACAUCCAGUAUAGUGGGACCCAAAAUUCCGGGGACAACAAAUCGGGGAAGGAAAAAAACUAUUUCCUUGGAUUCGCCGAGUGUUAGCGUUCAUCCACCACCUCUACCCGCUAUAAGCGCACAUCAAACCAAUACCUCCACCUCUCUCAUGUUAGAGCCAAGAAAAUAUAAUCGAAGCGGGAACGAUUCGAAUGAGUACAGAGAUUCCGUUGAUAGGGUAGAAGUAAUAAAACUACCGGCGCACUCAACAAAUGGUUCCGUACUAUCAGCACCACCGACCUAUACCACGAGCAAUACGAGUAAUACCAGUGAUACCGAUGCUCCUCUCAAUCUUUCGUUGAAACCAUCGUCAACUUGUAGCAGCACUCCUAUUACUGGGAGUCAAGCGCUUAGUCAGCUCAGCAAUUUGAGUCAGUCUCUCUUGGCCUCUGACCGAACGUCCCGACGGAAGCCUGGCCCAAAACCGAGACGAGUACCGCAAAACUCGGUGCCUGUUCCUGCCUCACCUAGUCCAUCGCUUGCUCAGCUUUUUGCUGCUGCAGAUUCACCCCAAAGGCCGAGCAGUGGCAGCGAAGAAAAUGAUAGUAUGACGGCUCACCAUAAAGACGGCCGACCUAGAAAUCUUGGUCGUGGCGUAUCGAAACCUAAGAAGAACACAGUCGCAUCCCUGUUAGCUCAGAGUAGAGCGCUCGGUAUCAAACCCACACCUGCUCUAGAUCCUAGCGCGCCAUUAGCGCAUCAGGUGUCUUUGCUUAGGUCAAACAUAUUCGCCGCGCAGUUGCAUGCAAGCACAGGAUUGUUGGAUGAAAAGACGCAGGAAAAAAUGAAGAAUAAACUUCUGGAAGUAUCAGGAGAAGAGAGCAACAUGGACGUGACAAGUGAAAGUGGCAGUAAUACGGAUGCUGUUACGGAUACCGACGACGAUAACGUUGAAGGAAUACCUAGUGCUAAGAAAAGAAAACUUAAUCCCAGUGAAAAAGAUCUACAGGCUGCAUUGGAUCACGGAUGGAAACGUGAAACAGUUAUCAAAGGGCUCGGAAAAACAGGAGUCAUUAAAGGAGACGUAACUUACUACAGUCCGUGCGGCAAAAUAUUCAGAAAUACUCCUGAACUCCUAAAGUUUCUUGAACAGCAGAACUCGAUGGAACUCACAACCGCUAAUUUUUCAUUCUCGUCUCGACCGCUUGUGGGUGAAUUUUUGCAACCAACGAUGGGCCUUGCUGAAGCUGAAUUCGUAAGACUUGGCGCGCAAGAAGUUGCGAGAAGAUUGGAAGAGUUGAGGGUGGCUGGCGGUCUUCGAGAUGCCAGGGUGAACAAUCAAUACGAGAGAGAUAAAUUGGCUUAUGCUAAGAAAUUAGCGAAAGAAGAGGCUCAACGAUACAAGGAGCAAGUUAGGUUAAUGAAGGAACAAGAAAAGUCUGAGAGGCAAGAAGCAGUGAGGCGGGAGCGGGAACUUAGGAAUCAGCAGCUACUUGAAGGUCGCAAGCGCCUAGCGUUCACGAUCAAACAGAAAAUGAAGAUCAUCCAGGAGAUCGAGUGUGGAAAAAGCAAGAGUGAUGUGGCACGUGAGCUCGGAUUGGCUAGCAGUACCGUUGCAACAAUUUGGAAGAAUCGCGAAAGUAUCACAGAAAGUUGGCGAAAUAGAGACGUAAUGCAGAUGGAAGACACUGAAUUGAAAAAAGUGGCGACUAUCCAAGAGGUGCAACAGGUCCAGAAGCAAACGCAAAAUCAUGAGUUGCUGGAGGCGCGGAGAAAGAGACAGGAGGAAAUGGAGAAGAUUCGCAUGGAAGAACAACAACGAAAACAGCAGGAGAGAGAACUGAAACGACAGCAAGCUGUGAUGCUCAAAGAACAGAUGUACAUGCAGGAGCUGAGCAAGCAGCGCGAGAUGCUCUACACCGUCGAGCUGGAGAGAGAGAGAAGACGACAACAUAUGGCAUUGGUGAGGGCGUUGGAGAAUCGUAGAAGAAUGGAAGAGCGAGAGAAAAAGAGAUUAGAAGCUCGAGCUGAACGAAUUGCGAACAAAGAAAAACGUGCUGAACAGAGAAAGCUCGAAAUAGAACUUAUAGAACAAAUCAGGAAACCUGUCGAAGAUAUGGAAUUGACAGAUCAAAAAUCACUGCCAGAACUGAAUAGGAUACCAGGGCUGAAAUUAGCUGGCCAGGCAUUUGCAGAUAUUGUCAUGGUAUUUGAAUUCCUGCAUAAUUUUGGCGAAACGCUCGGUUUUGAUAUGGAGUCACUGCCAAGUCUGAAAAGUCUCCAAUUAGCCCUAUUGAACGACGAAGAAGCUGAGGAAGAAUUAUUGUCUGUGAUGACACAUCUUUUAGUUUGUGCAAUAGAAGAUCCUGGUAUUCCACAACCAGCGCGGCACACUACCGGCCUAGGACAAAGUCUCCGACAAGCUGACAUAACUCACGCAAAUAUCAGUGAAGUUUUAAGGAUUUACUUAUAUGCAAAUGCCACUGGCGAAGUUAAAGCUCUAACUGGUGUUUGUUUGGAACGAGAAAGAGAUAAAAAAUUUGCUGAUCACCAUCAAAAUGGCGGGGACUACACCUCGACAUGCUCUGGAAAGAAUGCUCAGUUUUACGAACAUUUGCAUAGCAAUGAGACAUGGAAGAUGUCCGAAAAACUUAGGGACAAACCUUUCCUAGCUUUAAAUCCAACCGAAAAAGCGCAAAUGCUUGCAUUUUUGUGCAACGAGUUGCUUCAAAACAAGGCUGUGAUAAAACAAAUUGAAGGAAGCUUAGAGACUUUAGCACAAAUGAAGAAGGAUAGAUUUGUUCUAGAUACCAAAAUCAGAAAACUCAGACAACUACACAACAGAAAGGUGAGAAUGGAAGCUGUUGGUGUCAUAGUGAAUAAGUCUGGUGACACCAUCACUAUAGAGAAAAAAGAAGGUGAUGAAGAAUGUAAUACAACAUCAACGGCCGUUGGAACUACACCUACAUUAGAUGAAAUACACCAAGAGGAUGAGGUCGAAGAUAUGUCAGAAAAUGAAAGCGAAGGCACCCAACCAGAAGAGGAAGAGGAUAAGAAUCUAUCAGGAGAGGAGCUCGGAAAAAAACUAGAUCGACUUCUGAAGCAUUCAGAAGAACAACUCCAGAAAUUGAACAGUUCAUCGAAACAAUUACGUGCUCAUGUACUAGGACAGGAUAGGUACUGGCGAAGAUACUGGGAAUUACCGUGUGCGGGUGGUAUUUACAUCGAGGCAAUGGAAAGUGCGGAACCAGAAAUACUAGACGUGCAAGCUAUUUUAGAUGCGAAUUAUAAACCUCCAGAUGUCGAUACCACAACGCAGAUAGCGAGUAUAACAGAGGACACGAAAGAUCUUGAGCUUUCGAAGCCAACAAUGACAGAUGAUAAACCUAGCGCCGAGAAAAUUGAGAAUAUCAACAUCAAAUCUGAAGAGGAUAAAGUUAAAAUGGAAGUGGAUGAAGUUAGUUGUAAAACGGAAUUUCAGAAUUGUGUAAAGGACGAAGUAGCGAGUGUGAAAAUUGAAGUUAAAACAAAUACGGACAGUAUUAAAUCUGAUGCAAGAACAAAUGUUACAUCCGAAGAGAUUAAACAAGAGACUGAAGGAAAAACUGUUGAUGUUUGUAACAAAGAAUUGAAAAAUGAAGAGAAUUGUAUAGACGAAGAAGUAACAAGCUCUGUUACAAAAAAAACUAUGGAAGAUAAAAACGUUGAGACUAUACCAAAUGGAGAAAAAUGUAAUCACGUAAAUAACUCGCAUUACUCCAACGGUAAAGAAUUGAAUGGAACUUUCAUCUGUGGUGGAAAUACUGAACCAGUUUGGUUUUCCAUUUUCCCUCGGGAAACUUGUGAUACGCCAGGUUCGUGCACAAAGACAAUUUUCGGGAUAGCUGAAACAACGGAACUCAGGAUACCAGUAUUUCCUCCGCCUUCUAGUCCACCUUAUGACAGGUGUGACAGUCCGGCACCCCUAGUGCUUACGCAGGACGAAGCGGCUCAACUAGAACACUUAAAAGUCCAUGGAUUGCCCCCAGCUGGUGAUCCAAAACCUGUUCCCGAAGAACUCCGAUACGGUUGGUGGAGAGUAUCAGACGUUGAUACAUUUCAAGCAUUAUUGGAGAACCUUCACUCUCGAGGUGUACGUGAAAAAGAACUGAAACGCACAACUUGGGCAGUGAUGGAAUCUUUCCUAGCUAUAACUGGCAAAAUCCACGUUGACCCUGGUAAUAUUGGAGCUACGAAUUUACAAGUGGAUGGAGACGAAUCACAACUUCCUACUCCAAGACCAGAUAAGCCUGACCAUUGGAGCGAACAAGUAGCUCUGCGUGUUGACGCUCAGCUAUUAGAACAAGUUGAAGCACUAGAAGAUAAAGUUGCAAAUGCUAGCAUGCAAGUUAAAGGGUGGAAACUUCCUCCAAGAUCUGGCACCGAUGAAGCCGAUGAAUUGGAAAAAAUUAAUGAAAUGGACCAAGUCAGUGCUGUUGAACAAGCUAGGCAAAGGUUACUAUCGUUAGAGGCAGCAAUUGAGAGGAGGUAUCUAAAACCGCCUCUUGGUAUCUGCACCGGAGAUCCAAAUCUAACAGCUCUGAAAGCAGAGCAAGCUGCUGCAACAAAUGCAAAUGUGAACAACUCAGAUUCAAAUGCUCUUGGGCCACCACCUAUCGAGGAAACCACCCCGCGGGGUCUCAAUAACUGGCGAGAGGCUACCGCUAGGGCACAUACGUCGGCACAGCUAGCAAUGGCGCUGUAUAUGUUGGAGGCAAGCAUCGCCUGGGACAAAAGCAUCAUGAAGGCAGUGAGUCUAACACCAGCUAGAAACUCGGUCUGCAUCAUGCUGCGAAACCGCUGCGUCUCACUCAAAGCUACCACUCAAUACAAUCAGCUAUUGACUACUACUCAGGCCUCUAACUGCCAGUUCUGUCAUAGUGGUGACAACGAAGACAAACUACUGCUGUGUGAUGGCUGUGAUCGUGGAUACCAUACUUACUGCUUCCGUCCAAAAAUGGAAAACAUUCCUGAUGGUGACUGGUACUGCCAUGAGUGUAUGAACAAAGCAACAGGUGAAAGAAACUGCUUGGUAUGUGGUAAACGAAUGGGAAAAAAUUUAGUUCUGUGCGAAUUGUGCCCUAGAGCUUACCAUACCGACUGCCACAAUCCUGUUAUGCCUAAGGUGCCUCGAGGAAAGUGGUAUUGUUCCAACUGUCACAGCAAACAACCAAAAAAACGCAACAGCAGUCGAAGAAGCCAUGCCAAGGGGGCAACAAGGGAUAGCGAAAGUUCCGACCAUCCUCCAACUAGUCCAACUCCAUCAACAGCAUCAAACACUCAUGUCGAAGAUGUCAGUUCGUCUGAACCACCAACACCAACAGCAUCACCUCGCAAGGAAGGCAAUAGCAGAGCACUGACGAAAAAGCAGCAACGAGAAUUAGCACCAUGUAAAAUUUUACUAGAACAAUUAGAACAACAGGAUGAAGCGUGGCCUUUUUUAUUGCCAGUAAACACAAAACAGUUCCCAACAUAUAAGAAAAUUAUUAAGACUCCAAUGGAUCUCAGUACCAUUAAGAAAAAAUUACAGGACUGUGCGUACAAAUCAAGAGAAGAAUUUUGCGUUGACGUCAGGCAAAUGUUCAUAAACUGUGAAGUAUUCAACGAAGAUGAUAGUCCUGUGGGCAAGGCUGGACAUGGUAUGCGUAGCUUUUUUGAAAUGCGUUGGACAGAGAUAACCGGAGUGCCACUUCCUCCACCACCCACGCACAGCUGAGGCUCAGCUCGCUCGCGCAAUAACUGCAACAGUUUUGCACACUUCUAUUACUAGUCCAAUAUUAUGAACUGUAGGUUGUGGCCAAUAUCAAGCUUCUUGUUGGAUGGUAUAUCGCAAAUGAGGAAUAUUUCCGGAAGAAGAUGCAUUCUAUUUGAUAAUUUUUUUUUUUUAAUAGACUGCGACGACGCUUGCACACAAUCUACAAUCUAGUAAGGUAUUAGUUUUUCUGUACGAAACAGAGUUUAAUUUCGUUGCGAUUUAUUCGUAUUUUGUUGAACAUUAUCUUUUCUCCGUGUUGUGGGCCUUCAGAUUCAAAUUAUUCAGCUACAGCAUUCACAAAUUCGAACGUGUAUAUCUUGCACGUUCUGCAGAGCGUCAAAACAUUAUUUAUAUCUUAAAGAGCUCAUGUAAUUUUAUCAAAGGUGAUGCAUUGCCAUUUCCUUAAAAUUGUUUCUCUUUAUUCUCUAAUUUGAAGAGGAAUAUCGGAGAAAAUUUCUGUCCCAAUAAACAAUCUAGUAGAAAAUGGUUCGCUUAUCUAAAAUCUGUGGCGUUUCUUAUAAUUCGGAAAAUUUAUCUCAUAAUUCGCAUGAACAAAAAAAUACCAGAUUACAUACUACGGAGAUAUGAUUUACUGGUUCCAUUAUUGAUCUUGUUACCAAAGGAACUUGACUCAGUGCAUAAAAAGUACAGUUGCACUAAAUUAUUUUUGUUGGAAUUUCCUUGAAUAAACAAAAUUCAUCAAAUACGACGUUGGUGUCAGAUCUGUCGAAACAGUUUCUUUUAUGCUGCAAGUUCGAAAAGACAGAUUAACCAUUCAUUGAAAUGACCGCUCAAACAUUUAACUUGACAGAUGAAGCAAAAUUGAAAACACCGCAAUGGUCCUUGUACUUAGAUUACAAAAACUUCUUGUCUAAACGGGUCUCUAAUUGUAUUAUAGGCACAAAAAUACUGCAGGAAUGAAAAAGAUAUUUUGCGAAAUGAUAGGUAAUUACGAAAUUGUAUUAACUCAUAGGAAAACUGUAAGAUUACUAUAAAAGUAAUGUUAGAAUAAUCCAAAUACACUGGUAUAGAGUGAGAUGCCAUUCCACUAUUGAGUAUUUUUUUUUAAUUAUUUUUUUUUAUAUUUUUUUUUUGUCUUCUCAUAUACUGCAUAGAGAAUUCUCUAAAUUGUAUUCGCUUGUCAGUAUUUUAACGUUGUAAAGUGAAAUUAUACAUAAGAUGCAUUCAUUAUGAGACUUAAUAAAAAUAAUUCUUAAUUUUAAAAUAUACUAUUGACAUGUACAAGAAAAACAUUUUGAAUCUGGUGUCACGUAGAAUUCUAAAAGUAGCUGAACAAGCAUAAUAAUUAGUUAAGAUGUGAUUAUACAGACCUGUUGAAACUUAAAAUGGCAUUAGAACGAGCGUGACGAGAAAAUGUAAUUUACAUAAUGAGUGAGAACUAAUCCACGAAUAUUAUGUGUUCUUGAAAAAAAAAUGUUUUACGUAUUUGUAUGAUAAAUCACUAUGUAAAACAUAAUUCAAGAUCAUAUAGUUUAAGUAUCUUGCAUGUGUGUGCAUUUUUUUCAAUAAAAAAAAAAAAAAAAAAAAAAACCGUACUGUAUGAUUUCUAUGAGAUACGUUGUUACGGUAAAAACGGACACUUAAAAUGUGUUGACCUUUGAUGAUUCGUUUGGACAAAGGCAUAUGGCAAGCCUAUGCCACCGAUAUUCACUACCGUUAUACCUAGCAUUGUAAGAAGAGUGCUCCAGAAACUAUUAUUCGAAUUUAAUGAAUCCUGAUUUUUAUCGAGUAUCGAUUGUGUUCCACACGAUCACGAACUGCUACCGACGUGACUUCUUCAUACUUUUCGAAUUUUUAUUACAAAGUAUCGUCAAAAAUGUUCAAAAAAUACUUCAUUUCUGUCGUGUGUCGAAUAUCUUAUUCAAAUCGCUAUAAAGUUAUUAUAAUUGACAAAUAUUUACUGCAGAGCAACGUCAUAAUAUCGCGGUGUCGACUACAUACAACGAUCCUACUGAUGCGAGCACUCUUUUUUUCAGAAGAUCUGAAAAGUGUAAAAUGGUAGUGCUUGUGAUAUUAGAUGCCUCUGAUUCUAUUCCAGAUUCAUCUUGCAGUGCAUUUUCCAUGUUUGUUCAUCUAUAUCAAGAUAACAAGUGCCUACUCCUUACUCUAAAUGAUCUGCAAGAAAAAUAUCCUUCAGUUCAUGUUCCAAAUUCCAAAUGUAACUCUCGAUCGUUCUCGAAAUUUACGUACCCAUAACUCACAUGAAUAAUUACUUUGCAGUGCGUGAAAUGUUAAUGUUGAAAUAGUCAGAAUAGUAGAAUCGAGUGAAUGAUUCAUGAAAUGUAUGGACAGUGGAGCAAGUUAUAAUCUUUUACAAUCACAA
rnacentral:misc_RNA from 1 species